rnacentral:tRNA from 1 species
GACAACGCGGCCCAAUGGAUAAUGCGCUGGUUUACUGAACCAGUGAUUCUGGGUUCGACCCCAGCGGAGUCG